rnacentral:rRNA from 1 species
UACGUAGGGGGCUAGCGUUGCUCGGAUUGACUGGGCGUAAAGGGCGCGUAGGCGGUUCGUACAGUCAGACGUGAAAUUCCUGGGCUCAACCUGGGGGCUGCGUUUGAUACGUGCGGACUUGAGUGCGGAAGAGGGUCGUGGAAUUCCCAGUGUAGAGGUGAAAUUCGUAGAUAUUGGGAAGAACACCGGUGGCGAAGGCGGCGACCUGGUCCGAUACUGACGCUGAGGCGCGAAAGCGUGGGGAGCAAACAGG